AACGAACGCUGGCGGCGUGCCUAACACAUGCAAGUCGUGCGAGAAAGUUCCUUCGGGAGCGAGUAAAGCGGCGCACGGGUGAGUAACACGUAGGUAACCUGCCCCCAAGUCUGGAACAACUGGAGGAAACUCCAGCUAAUGCCGGAUGAGACCACGAUCCCCUCGGGGGUUGUGGCCAAAGAUGGCCUCUGCUUGCAAGCUAUCGCUCGGGGAUGGGCCUGCGGGCCAUUAGCUAGUUGGUGAGGUAACGGCUCACCAAGGCAGUGAUGGCUAGCUGGUCUGAGAGGAUGACCAGCCACACUGGGACUGAGACACGGCCCAGACUCCUACGGGAGGCAGCAGUGGGGAAUAUUGCGCAAUGGCGAAAGCCUGACGCAGCGACGCCGCGUGGGUGAUGAAGGCCUCGGUCGUAAG
rnacentral:rRNA from 1 species